GUAACUAUGACAGUCAUUUGUAACAAUCGUCUCUUUCCCAAUACACUACCAGCAAGCCGACCCACACCGCCUCCAGUCUUAGUGCCUUCCCGGUCACGCCCUCCCUUCUCCUGAAGGGGGCGGAAUCUCUAAUCCACCCAAGACCCGGUUCCUCGAUUCCCAUCGUUACGACCGAGGAGAAAAGAGAGUAAAUUUUCCUAUUAUAGCCUUCUCUCGCACCUUCCCCGCUUCCCACCAGCCGUCUCCACUGUCCUCACCGUCCCCAUCCUCAUCCAUGGCGAAAUCUUCGCCCCCAGCCUCGUGAAGAUCUAGCACGUCCGCCAUCUCGCCUUCGAUCGAGAUCUCGUCUGUGCCGCUCAGACACUAGAGUCUCACCCUGAUGUCCAGGCUGGAGUGCAAUCACUCAGUCUCGGCUCACUGCAACCUCCACCUCCUGGGUUCAGAUGCUGUUGACUGGGGCAAAGAAUAAUGGGAGAAAAACAGCUGGGUCCUAAAUAACAGAGGGAAACCAACUUUCAAUAAAGUAUUCAACAACUAA
rnacentral:antisense_RNA from 1 species